UCAGCUUCACCCCAGUGAAGCCGCUCUGCAGGCAGUUGCCCUGCGGCCCAAAGAUCAGCCUUCCACCUAACAAGGAGUGCUUUCCCCUCAAUAGCUGCUGCUCACGUUAACAGUGUUUGGCGAUCAGAAGGGGGAUCCAGAGAAGACAAUUUCAAGGCUGGUGAGCAAACAGAUGCCGGUACCCCCAGAGCUAAUUGUACUCACUGCUGUCUUGCCAACCCUGGAGUUUGAGGAUAAAAGGACCAAGAAGGAAUGGGAAAUCGGGC